GACGAACGCUGGCGGCGUGCUUAACACAUGCAAGUCGAACGGAAAGGCCCUGCUUGCCGGGUACUCGCGUGGCGAACGGGUGAGUAACACGUGGGUGAUCUGCCCUGCACUUCGGGAUAAGCCUGGGCAACUGGGUCUAAUACCGGCUAGGAGCCAUUUUUAGUGUGAUGGUUGGAAAGUUUUUUCGGUGUAGGCUGAGCUCGCGGCCUAUCUGCUUGUUGGGGGGGUAAUGGCCUACCAAGGCGGCGGCGGGUAGCGGGCCUGAGGGGGUGGCCGGCGACAUAGGGGCCGAGGGAAGGCCGAAGUAGCGAAGGGAGGGAGCAGGGGGGAAGAUUGAACAAGGGGCGCAAGGCGGAUGAAGAGAGGCCGCGUGGGGGAAGACGGUGUUAGGGUUGUAAACCAAAUGCGUAAGGGACGAAGCAUGUUGUGACGGUACCUAGAUAAGAAGCACCGGCUAACUACGUG
rnacentral:rRNA from 1 species